AUUUGAUAAACUUUAUCUUACUUUUAUUUUUUUCUUGUUUUGAGAAAUAUCUUUUUGUUUAGUAUAAUAAAGAAAAAUGUGUUUUUGUUAUAUAUUAUUAGUACUGUAAAGGAAUGGCUGAAAUAAUUAAAAAUCAAUUUUUUUUAAGUAUACUUUAUUUGUUGUACCUUUGGUAUCAGGGUUAAUUUAAUAUUUUAAUUUAUAUUUGUAUCUCGAUUUCAAAAGAGCUAAAUUGUUAUUUUAGUUAAUGUAGUAUAAUUAUUUAUAAUACAAUUUAGUAGAGAAAUUUUAUUCGUUUUUGAGGGUAUCUAGUUUUUUAAGAAUUAAAUUAAAUUUAGCUUUAUUAUUUAAAUUUUAUAUUAUUAUAUAUUUUAUUUAAUAAAUUAAAGAUAGUAGGGAUAAGUUCUAUUUUUUUCUAUAAAACCUUUUGAUUAAAUUUAAGAAGGUUUAAAAUAACCAUCCAUAAGAAAUGGGGUAAAAAUUAAGGUUGGAAUAAUAAUUUAUUAUUUUUAGUAUUUUAUUAAAAUUCCAUAAUUAAUUUUUUAUUUUGGGGAAUAAUAAUUAAAUUAGUAUAAUUUAAUGUUUAUAAUUUUGUAACAUAAAUGAUAAAAUAAGGAACUCGGCAAAUAUAGUUCUCGCCUGUUUAACAAAAACAUGGCCUUUUGAAUUUAAUUGAAGGUCUGACCUGCCCAGUGAUUAAUUUAACGGCCGCGGUAUAUUGACCGUGCAAAGGUAGCAUAAUCAUUAGUCUUUUAAUAGAGGGCUGGAAUGAACGGUUUCACGAGGAACUAACUGUCUCAUUUUAUUUGUUUUAGAAUUUAAUUUUUUAGUCAAAAAGCUAAAAUUUUAUUGGAAGACGAGAAGACCCUAUAGAUCUUUAUAUAGUCUUUUAUAUUUAUUUUUAUAUUAACAUAAGUAUAUUAAGGUUAUAUUUUGUUGGGGUGACAAAAAUAUAUAAUCAACUUUUUUAUUUAAAUACCAUUGAUAUAUGAAUAUUAGAUCCACUAUUAGUGAUUGUUAGAAUAAGUUACCUUAGGGAUAACAGCGUAAUCCUCUUCCAGAGUUCAUAUUUACAGGAGGGCUUGCGACCUCGAUGUUGGAUUAAGAUAAUAACUAGGUGUAGCCGCUUAGUUUAUAGGUCUGUUCGACCUUUAAACUCUUACA
rnacentral:rRNA from 1 species